CGCACGGGUGCGUAACGCGUGGGAAUCUGCCCUCAGGUUCGGAAUAACAGCGAGAAAUUGCUGCUAAUACCGGAUGAUAUCGCGAGAUCAAAGAUUUAUCGCCUGAGGAUGAGCCCGCGUAGGAUUAGCUAGUUGGUGUGGUAAAGGCGCACCAAGGCGACGAUCCUUAGCUGGUCUGAGAGGAUGAUCAGCCACACUGGGACUGAGACACGGCCCAGACUCCUACGGGAGGCAGCAGUGGGGAAUAUUGGACAAUGGGCGAAAGCCUGAUCCAGCAAUGCCGCGUGAGUGAUGAAGGCCUUA
rnacentral:rRNA from 1 species